CAGGCAGAGGUAUUUUUACAUAUACAAAGAGAAAAAGCACUAAAGCAUAAUAGGUCCUCUUUACCUAUCCUAAAAAUACCUCUGUGUGGGCCCAUUUAG